rnacentral:rRNA from 1 species
UAGGGAAUAUUGGACAAUGGGUGAGAGCCUGAUCCAGCCAUGCCGCGUGCAGGAAGAAGGCGUUAUGCGUUGUAAACUGCUUUUUGCCAGGGGAUAAAAAGACCGUGCGCGGUUAAUUGAAGGUACCUGGUGAAUAAGCCACGGCUAACUACGUGCCAGCAGCCGCGGUAAUACGUAGGUGGCAAGCGUUGUCCGGAUUUAUUGGGUUUAAAGGGUGCGUAGGUGGCCCUGUAAGUCAGUGGUGAAAUAUCUCAGCUUAAACUGAGAGGGUGCCAUUGAUACUGCAGGGCUUGAGUACAGAUGAGGUAGGCGGAAUUGACGGUGUAGCGGUGAAAUGCAUAGAUAUCGUCAAGAACACCGAUAGCGAAGGCAGCUUACCAAGCUGUAACUGACACUGAGGCACGAAAGUGUGGGGAUCAAACAGGAUUAGAUACCCACGUAGUCCCUGAGCGGGCUGGCAAGGCGCAU